GGUAUGAAUCUUGGCAAUAGAUAUCUUGGCUCUCGCAUCGACGAAGAAUGUAGUGAAAUGUGAUACAUGGUGUGAAUUGCAAAAUCCCUCGAACCAUUGAGUCAUUGAAUGCAAGUUGUGCCUGAGGCCAUCUGUCGAGGGCACGCCUACCUGGGCAUUGAGC
rnacentral:rRNA from 1 species